UUUCGUAAGGGAUUGCAUUCCACUCAGUGGUCUAGUUAUUUAAGGGAUGUUUGGACAAAUGCAGUAGGUCAUUCCAGUAUUUCAUGUAUACAGAACGUCACAUACUGUGCACAGUAUGCGUACCACAAGUUCAUGUGUGGUGGUAUGAACACAGGCUCUGUUACACUCACAGAGAAAAGCUCUCAGCUCCUGACAUUAAUCAGACACUUUAAACAUGACUGUGUAAUAUAAGCUUGUGGUGAUAAGGAUUUUAAUUAAACAUCCCAUAUUUUUGGGUUCGAGAGAUAGACCGUAAGACUCGCACAAGAAAUCAAUCGGGUUAUAACAACGUUUGCGUUUCAUGUUUGCUCUUUUAAAGGUUGUUAUCAUCACCAUCUUUUCACAGGAUAUAAAAAGGUGAGCUGAUCCGGUAGUUACGAUGUCGUUAAUGUUAGAAAAGCUCCAGGAACACUCAGCCCGAGCCAUUACCCAUAAUUCACAGAAGGCGCAUAUGCAUUUGUAAAUUCUGUAUUUUUUCCAAUGCCAAAGCGUCAGCACACAUUUUUACAAUAAUUAUUAAAUUAAAAUGAAUUGCAAGAUGUAUAGCCGAAUUUAUCACUCAAUGCGUACAUUUUAAAUUGCUUUUGACCAAAGAACGCUGUUGUCUACAGAUGAAAGGUCCUUAAUAUGAUGGGAGAGUAGGACCCCCCAAAGCAAUCCAAAUUUAAAGAGUGGCCUAGAGGGGCUUUCUCAGUGAACGUCUGAAGUGUCAGAGGGAUUCUGCUGGAUCACAUCCGACACGGCAGGGUCUCUCCCACCAAUCAGAACUCAUGAUGCCCUACAGGCAUCUAACUUCACAAACACAUUUUACAUGUUGUCAUCGGCACUGAAGUCGCAGACAGUCUGAAACACUCCAGACCUUCAACAUACAAAUCAUACAGAAUUUCCUGACAGUGGACUUGCUCCAGUCUCCUACACGGAGAUGUAAGCCUGAGUCAGGUUUUUCAUCCUUUGAUAAAUUGCUUUUGCUUCUUACAACGGGAGAAGAUGUGAACUACACAUUAAACCUACACAUCAGGACUUCAGCAGUGCUGAGAACAAAAUGUUCUGCUUGGCUUUGAUAGAUGGCUCAAUGAAAGCAGACGUAAAUAUAUACUUUCACACACUAAACUAAUAGCUCAGACGCUUCAUCAUCACAGAGCAGAGACAUUACUUCUACACUCAUCUGUUCAAUGGGCGGUGGAGGUGCCCAGGGGACCAAUUGUGUCCUGUUUAUAUAGAAUUGAGCGUUUUGUAUGAUGCCCAAGAGAAAAGAUUACACCUAAUCCAUUAAAUCACCCAAAACAACCUCUGAUGUCUAAAAAUACAUGUAUGUGUUUGUAAAUGCAGUACCAGAGUCUGGGUGUGCUUAGUGAUUACAGUCAAUAAACAUUUCCUCAAUUGAAAUAUGUAUGUGUGUUGUAUAAAAAGUUUCCUACCUUGAUGAUGAAAAAAAAUCUUAAAUAGAUUCAUAACCAAGUAAAGAUAAGUUUAUAUAGGAUGUUCAAUUUGACAAGCUUUACUACCUCAUAACACAAACAUACAGACG